UUGGAGAUAGAUUUGAGAUACACGAUCGAUAUAUCAUGUGAACACUUAUCAACACGUGGGGCGGCAAACGGAAAAAAGGGAUCGCUCCAACGACGCACCCCACAAACGCGUCACGGAGGUUACCCAGCCGCAGCCGGAGAAGCGUCUCCUCAUCCAUCAUCUACCCUCACCGCCGCCGGUCCGCACCGUCAGGCAAACCCUAACUGGAGCUGGCGGCGGCAGUGCCCUCUCUCGUCUCCGUAUAUGGGGGCUCGUCGCGGGACGACGAUCCCGAGCGGAGGCAUGGAGCUGGUCUAGGGCACGGUGGCGCUGGGAAAAAAAUCGGAGACGGCCGCUCUUCGGGUCUUCGUCCCUGUCGUGGAGGGAUAGUCGCGGCGACAACUCUCUCCUAGAUUGGCGGCGGUCAAUGGCGGCACUGCCUAGAUCCGGCCCGCCGGGACCCACUAGAGUCCUGCGGUGCUUGGCACCGUUGUUCAUCAUGCUCCAAAACAUUGUUUUGCUUCAUGCCGGCCUCCUUGAUCUGGACACCGACGGGUUCUGGUCUUUCGUUCGGAGCUCUCAGCUUCUGGGGCAUGGCGCCAUUGGAUAUCUAGAUCAUAAUUGAUCCGGUCGGAUGUGCCCUUAUCUUCGGCUAGAGAGGUUUCAUGAUGGCGUGGCGCGAAGCUUUGCUGCCUUGUCAGUGCCAUGGGACAUGUCUAAGUAUAGAAUUCCACGGCAUUCAUAAUGAUGAAAAAAAUCACGAUGGCUGCGAUCGGAGGUUUGUAACGGAAGAGAGGAGUUUUUGUUGCGUUAAAGAAUGGCGUCACAUGUUUUUUCCUGUGUGUCUUGUGUUGAAUACUUGCAGCGGCGGUCCUGGCUAGAGGGGGCGGCAACUCAGGUGGACAACAUUUUUCAGGAUGCUUCACGAGUACCAAAGUCUGGCCUUCAUUGGUUGUACAUGGCAAUGGUCUUGCCAAGACAUUGUUUUUGGGAUAUUGGACUCUCUCUAUGUUGAAAACUCAAGAUCCUUGAUCGGGCCAGGACAACGCUUGUGCAUUGUUUCCUUCUUGGAGGUGUCGCUUCUGGAAAACUUCUUUUGUAGUCUGGUUGUUGUCCUUGGUGGUGAUUAGAGUGUUUUUGUUGUGAGUGUUUCAUCACUGCAACGUGGUCUUUGUUUUUUAUUUCUCUCUUCUUUAUUUCGUUUUUAGUUGUGUGCAUCUUUAAUGUCUUUCUAUAUCUUGUCGGU
rnacentral:lncRNA from 1 species